rnacentral:rRNA from 1 species
AACUAACGCUGGCGGCGUGCCUAACACAUGCAAGUCGUACGAGAAAGUUGGCUUCGGCCGAUGAGUAAAGUGGCGCACGGGUGAGUAAUGCGUGGAUAAUCUGCCCUUUAGUUGGGAAUAACGUACCGAAAGGUGCGCUAAUACCUGAUAAUACUGCAUAACUACUGUUGUGUAGUCAAAGAAGGCCUCUGUUUACAAGCUUUUGCUGAAGGAUGAGUCCGCGUACCAUUAGCUGGUUGGUGGGGUAAUGGCCCACCAAGGCUACGAUGGGUAGGGGUUCUGAGAGGAAAGCCCCCCACGCUGGUACUGAGACACGGACCAGACUCCUACGGGAGGCAGCAGUAAGGAAUAUUGGGCAAUGGUCGAAAGACUGACCCAGCCAUGCCGCGUGCAGGAUGAAGGCCCUAUGGGUUGUAAACUGCUUUUAGCCGGGAAUAAACACCCGUUUUAUAACCGGGCCCGAAGGUACCGGCUGAAUAAGCAUCGGCUAACUCCGUGCCAGCAGCCGCGGUAAACUGUCUACG